rnacentral:rRNA from 1 species
CCUACGGGCGGCAGCAGUGAGGAAUAUUGGUCAAUGGACGCAAGUCUGAACCAGCCAUGCCGCGUGCAGGAAGACGGCUCUAUGAGUUGUAAACUGCUUUUGUACGAGGGUAAAUCCCGAUACGUGUAUCGGGUUGAAAGUAUCGUACGAAUAAGGAUCGGCUAACUCCGUGCCAGCAGCCGCGGUAAUACGGAGGAUUCAAGCGUUAUCCGGAUUUAUUGGGUUUAAAGGGUGCGUAGGCGGUUCGAUAAGUUAGAGGUGAAAGCCCGGGGCUCAACUCCGGCACUGCCUCUGAUACUGUCGGGCUAGAGUGUAGUUGCGGUAGGCGGAAUGUAUGGUGUAGCGGUGAAAUGCAUAGAGAUCAUACAGAACACCGAUUGCGAAGGCAGCUUACCAAACUACGACUGACGUUGAGGCACGAAAGCGUGGGGAGCAAACAGGAUUAGAUACCCUUGUAGUC